rnacentral:rRNA from 1 species
CCUACGGGGUGCAGCAGUGAGGAAUAUUGGUCAAUGGACGAGAGUCUGAACCAGCCAAGUAGCGUGAAGGAUGACUGCCCUAUGGGUUGUAAACUUCUUUUAUAUGGGAAUAAAAUGUUCCACGUGUGGGAUUUUGUAUGUACCCUAUGAAUAAGGAUCGGCUAACUCCGUGCCAGCAGCCGCGGUAAUACGGAGGAUCCGAGCGUUAUCCGGAUUUAUUGGGUUUAAAGGGAGCGUAGGUGGAUUGUUAAGUCAGUUGUGAAAGUUUGCGGCCCAACCGUAAAAUUGCAGUUGAAACUGGCAGUCUUGAGUACAGUAGAGGUGGGCGGAAUUCGUGGUGUAGCGGUGAAAUGCUUAGAUAUCACGAAGAACUCCGAUUGCGAAGGCAGUUCACUGGACUGCAACUGACACUGAGGCUCGAAAGUGUGGGUAUCAAACAGGAUUAGAUACCCGGGUAGUC